GGGAAAUUCCUAGCGAUUUGGAAUUUUGCAGGUUAAAAGAUCAGUUACUCAAUUCAACAGACUAUCAGCCAAUCAUUUGAGACUAAACUUGAACCAAAAACUGGAAUAGGUUUCUAUAUUGACGUCGUUAAGGAAGUGUCUGGAUUAGCGAAGCUGUACUGUACUAUAUUAUUUACAUAUAAUAAUUUUUACUAUUUAUGUAUUUAGAUGCACUAGGUAGCAUUAAAUAUACAACAUAUUAUAUUUUA